rnacentral:rRNA from 1 species
AACGAACGUUGGCGGCGUGGAUUAGGCAUGCAAGUCGAACGCAAAUCCCUGGGCAACUGGGGAGGAGAGUGGCGAAAGGGGCAGUAAGGCGUGGGUAACCUACCCUCCGGGCCGGGAUAGCUUCGGGAAACUGAAGGUAAUACCGGGCGACGCAGCGAGAUCGCAUGGUCUUGCUGCACAAGGUCCGCCGCCGGGGGAGGGGCUUACGUGGUAUUAGCUAGACGGCGGGGUAACGGCCCACCGUGGCAAAGAUGCCUAGCAGGUGUGAGAGCACGACCUGCGCCACUGGCACUGAGACAGUGGCCAGACACCGACGGGUGGCUGCAGUCGAGGAUCUUCGGCAAUGGGCGCAAGCCUGACCGAGCGACGCCGCGUGUGCGAUGAAGGCCUUCGGGUUGUAAAGCACUGUCGAGGGGGAGGAAGCCGCAAGGUUGACCUAUCCCUGGAGGAAGCACGGGCUAAGUUCGUG